rnacentral:lncRNA from 1 species
GCCUAACAAGAUUAUGUGAGGGAAUUCGAUGUUUGCUAUACCACUGUUUAUUUCAACGCACUUUAUGAGAAUACUUCUGUACCAAUCGAAAUGAAAAUUUUUGCAGAGUUUUGAGAAAUGAUUUUAUUUUGUAGUAACGUAUUGUUUUGGAAACAUGUUAUGUUUUAAAAGGACAAAUUUUCCUUAUAAAGUCAAUAAUUAUGUGGACUUUUGAAGCCCAAACUUUGUAUGGCCUUAAAUACAUAAAUGAAAGAUCCAAAAACUGUACUAAUACAGAACGACAUGUUUAUGAAAUUAUAGCAAAACUUUUGGUUGACAAAUUUUUAUUCGUUGUUGCAAAAAUAUAAAUUUUGAAUAUCUUACAUUUUCUCCCUACUCAGUUUACCCCUAUUACUUAUUAUAAUGUGG